rnacentral:rRNA from 1 species
AUUGAACGCUGGCGGCAUGCUUUACACAUGCAAGUCGAACGGCAGCGCGGGCUUCGGCCUGGCGGCGAGUGGCGAACGGGUGAGUAAUGCAUCGGAACGUGCCCAGUAGUGGGGGAUAGCCCGGCGAAAGCCGGAUUAAUACCGCAUACGACCUGAGGGUGAAAGCGGGGGACCGAAAGGCCUCGCGCUAUUGGAGCGGCCGAUGUCGGAUUAGCUAGUUGGUGGGGUAAAGGCUUACCAAGGCGACGAUCCGUAGCUGGUCUGAGAGGACGACCAGCCACACUGGGAUUGAGACACGGCCCAGACUCCUACGGGAGGCAGCAGUGGGGAAUUUUGGACAAUGGGGGCAACCCUGAUCCAGCCAUGCCGCGUGCGGGAAGAAGGCCUUCGGGUUGUAAACCGCUUUUGUUCGGGAAGAAAUCCUCUGGGCUAAUACCCCGGGGGGAUGACGGUACCGGAAGAAUAAGCACCGGCUAACUACGUG